GACGAACGCUGGCGGCGUGCCUAAUACAUGCAAGUAGAACACACAGUUUAUACCGUAGCUUGCUACACCAUAGACUGUGAGUUGCGAACGGGUGAGUAACGCGUAGGUAACCUGCCUGGUAGCGGGGGAUAACUAUUGGAAACGAUAGCUAAUACCGCAUAAUAUUAAUUAUUGCAUGAUAAUUAAUUGAAAGGUGCAAUUGCACCACUACCAGAUGGACCUGCGUUGUAUUAGCUAGUAGGUGAGGUAACGGCUCACCUAGGCGACGAUACAUAGCCGACCUGAGAGGGUGAUCGGCCACACUGGGACUGAGACACGGCCCAGACUCCUACGGGAGGCAGCAGUAGGGAAUCUUCGGCAAUGGACGAAAGUCUGACCGAGCAACGCCGCGUGAGUGAAGAAGGUUUUCGGAUCGUAAAGCUCUGUUGUAAGAGAAGAACGGGUGUGAGAGUGGAAAGUUCACACUGUGACGGUAUCUUACCAGAAAGGGACGGCUAACUACGUG
rnacentral:rRNA from 1 species